GGGCUGGCUCUGGCAGCACAUAUAGUAAAAUUGAAAUGAAACAGAGAAGAUUAGCAUGGCCCCACGUGCAAGGAUGCCAUGCACUUUUGUGAAGCAUUCCAUAUUAAA
ensembl:snRNA U6 U6 spliceosomal RNA